AACGAACGCUGGCGGCGUGCCUAACACAUGCAAGUCGAACGUGAAAAUCUUCGGAUGAGUAAAGUGGCAGACGGGUGAGUAACACGUGGGUAAUCUACCUCAGAGUCUGGGAUAACCUGCCGAAAGGCGGGCUAAUACCGGAUAUCCCAAGAGAAUCGUGAGUGAUUUUCUUGGAAAAGGGAGCUGGCAACAGCCCUUGCUUUGAGAGGAGCCUGCGCCUCAUUAGCUAGUUGGUAGGGUAAUGGCCUACCAAGGCUUCGAUGAGUAGCUGGUCUAAGAGGACGACCGGCCAAACUGGAACUGAAACACGGUCCAGACUCCUACGGGAGGCAGCAGUGGGGAAUAUUGCGCAAUGGACGCAAGUCUGACGCAGCAACGCCGCGUGAGUGAAGAAGGCCUUCGGGUUGUAAAGCUCUGUCGGAAGGGAAGAAAAGUCUUGGAGUUAACAGCUCCAGGAUUUGACGGUACCUUCAAAGGAAGCACCGGCUAACUCCGUGCCAGCCGCCGCGGUAA
rnacentral:rRNA from 1 species